GGUCCGCUGGCGUAAUGGCAGCGCGUCUGACUACGAUUCUUCAAGAUUCAACUCAUCAGGAGGUUCCAGGUUCGACCCCUGGGCGGAUCG